rnacentral:rRNA from 1 species
UACGGCGAAACUGCGAAUGGCUCAUUAAAACAGUUAUAGUUUAUNUGAUAGUCAAUAAUAUACUACAUGGAUAACCGUGGUAAUUCUAUGGCUAAUACAUGCGCAAAUACUAUAUUAUGUCACUUAACGGGGGUUGAUAAGAUAG